AUGGAAUCUCAUCCCCUCAAACACCCUCCUCCGGUGACCGCCUUCUCUAUCGCAGACUCACCUUCAUCCAUCAUCAGUUAUGAAAUUCCACAAGCUUUUUUCGCCAUCCUCCUUAAUCGCGACAUCUACUUCUGCUAUCGUCCGUUAGGUUGCCUUCCGUCAAAGCCGUGUUCACCAUCACUAGGUUUUGGUGAAAAUAUGUGGAAGAAAUCAGAAGCAACUUGCACUUGGCUACAAAGUUCGAGAAAUUUUCUUCAUAGCACUCUAAUUUGUUAA